CUGUAGCAUGCAUGUGUAUUACUGCUCAUUCUCUGCCUUCUGAUUCUUUUUUUCCCCUCUAUUUCUGCAGGACUGGCAGAUAUCUAUAGGAAUACAGCUAGGAAAUUAAAUGUGCUCAGGCAUGAGCUGGUGCUGUUUCUAAUGUUAAACUGUCAUAUAGGGGCUACAUCCUGAGUAGGGAGGCUCAUCCAGUUGCAAGCUUAGACUUCUGUUUUCCCCUGGAACUUCUGUUUCAUGAGGAAUGGAUUUAAUCUUCAUUUUGUUCCUGCUUUUACACCUGCCUAGUUGUGGUGGAACACAUCACCCUCAGCUCAGCAGGGUCUCCAGGAGCCCUCCUGCUAAGUGCCUGCCAGAGACAGAGCCAAAGUCAGUGGCCCUCCAUAAACUGACCUGAUGAGGAUAUGAACAAAUUACUGACACUGCUGGUCACACAACAGCCCCUGAAUGUGACAGUGUGGUCAUUGGUGUGGCACGCAUCAGAGCACAGACUGAACAAUGCCACCUGUGAUCAUCCCAGCAGACUCAAAAGCAAAGGCUGUCCUAAGUACUCACACAGAAAUACUUUAUUGCUGCAGAGACCAGCUCCAGAGCAGAAUUACUGCCUCAAGACGUGGCUGUGACUGGUUUCAGUCCACGGGCUGAAGACUCAGUUCUCCAAGGAGAACCCCAAUACUCUGCAUGAUCUUCUUGUCACCAUUACUUACUCUUGUAAUACUGCGUAGGCUUUAUGCCACUGAGGAGAUGAGGUGGGAAGGAAGGUUUACCUGGCUGACCACCAGAAGAGCUGAGGACCUGCGCAAUGGGGGCCCUGGGCCCUGCCUUCUCAGGAGCUGGAAACGGCAAUGGUCGUGUCAUUCAGUGCACUGAACUUUUGAAGGUGAGUCUCCAAGUGCCUGUCAGCAAUGUUCGUGAAGGAACCGGCCCAAUGCAGCCAUGCAGGAGAUGAUGGUACCUGCACUCACACUUCCACAGAAACAGAAUAGCACGGGGCGAGAGCAUUUGAUUAAAAAUGCGAAUUGUGUCUGUGGUCAGAACGAUCUGAUGUGGAAAUGAAUUGAAAAUCACAUGAUUUUGCUUAUGUCUGUGACCUACAGAAGUGCAAGGACAUGAACACAUACUUUUUAUUAUAGACAAAUGGAAACAGCUUGAUACACUGUGAAUCAGUCAUGUUCUUUAAAGUUCAAAUCUGUUUUCUGCUGGAAAAUUUAUUAGUUCUUACAGCAAUAAACACUACUCUUUGGCAUUUCUAGCUGCUAGA
rnacentral:lncRNA from 1 species